CCCAAAUCAAGUCGUCCAAAGAUGGAGUCGAGAUCGUUGAGAUAGUGCACAAGGUUGACAAGAAUUAGCAUCGAGGAAGAAGGAAGACUUAUUAGAAUUUUCACGAUACAAGAGAUGAAAUGGAGGGGAUUGUAGUCACGAGAAUUUUCAAGUGAUUGAGAGAAUUUUUGUAGAGAAAAGCAGUUGUAAAGAGGGAAAAUAUUUUUUACUUUUUAUAUUUAAUAACUAAUUUUUCAUAUUAGUAUGUAAAUUAGUAAGUAAAAUUUAU
rnacentral:lncRNA from 1 species